GAUAUACAUGGAAGGAGAAUGUU
rnacentral:piRNA from 1 species